rnacentral:rRNA from 1 species
CUAGCGACUUCAGAGUUUGAUCCUGGCUCAGGAUGAACGCUGGCGGCGUGCCUAACACAUGCAAGUCGAACGAAGCAUACGGACUGGAGAUUCGUCGAAGGGACUGUAUGAUUUAGUGGCGGACGGGUGAGUAAUGUAUGAGCAACCUGCCUUUCAGAGGGGGACAACAGUUGGAAACGACUGCUAAUACCGCGUAACGUAUCGUGGGGGCAUCCUCGUGAUACCAAAGGAGCAAUCCGCUGAAAGAUGGGCUCAUAUCUGAUUAGCUUGUUGGCGGGGUAACAGCCCACCAAGGCGACGAUCAGUAGCCGGACUGAGAGGUUGAACGGCCACAUUGGGACUGAGAUACGGCCCAG